rnacentral:piRNA from 1 species
CACCACACAGAAAGCCAAUCACUGUGGCAAC